GAUGAGAACGCAGCGAAAUGCGAUAAGUAAUGUGAAUUGCAGAAUUCAGUGAAUCAUCGAAUCUUUGAACGCACAUUGCGCCCAUUAGUAUUCUAGUGGGCAUGCCUGUUCGAGCGUCAUUUCAACCCUUAAGCCUAGCUUAGUAUUGGGAAUCGACUUUACUGUCGUUCCUCAAAUUCAACGGCGGAUUUAUAGCAAUCUCUGAACGUAGUAAUUUUUUUCCUCGUUUUUGAAAUACUAUAAACCUCAGCCGCUAAACCCCCAAUUUUUCUAUGGUUGACCUCGGAUCAGGUAGGAAUACCCGCUGAACUUAAGCAUAUCAAUAAGCGGAGGA
rnacentral:misc_RNA from 1 species